rnacentral:rRNA from 1 species
CGGACGGGUGAGUCUAAUGCCAGAAUCUCCCUCAGGAGGGUCCAUGAGCGUCAAACGACCGCUAGCAGAGCCAUAUGCCCACUGGGUGUUAUGAAUUUAGCCUGAGGCAGAGCUCCGCGUACACCGGGAAUUCAGGUAAUGCAUUAUCAAGCCUUUCAUCAGUAGCUGGUAUGAGAGGAUGAUCAUCCACACUGGGACAGCAGCCCGGCCCAGACUCCUACGGGAGGCAGCAGCCAGAAUUCCCGCAAUGGGCGAAAGCCUGAGGGAGCAACGGGCGUGAGGGACGAAGGCCCGUGGGCUGUUAAUCAAGUUCUCAAGGAAGAAGAUCUGGAGAAAAGAGAUGAACAAGCCAGGGGCAAUUCUGCCUCAGCAGCCGCGGUUAUACCAGAGUGUCACCCAUUAUCGAAAAUUACCCGGCGUAAAGUGUCCGCAGAGUGCCGUCCAAGUCUCAGUCCCAAAAGGGGAGAUCAUCUUCUCCAACCCAGUGGAAAUUGAAGCCUUGAGAGCCUAGGGGCAGAGGAAUUCUAAUCGGAGCGGAGAUAUCGUCGAUAUCGGGAAGAACCCCCGUUAGGCAGGCGGUGUAUUGGCCCUUCUUUCCCGCUCAUGGCCGCAACCCAGGGGCGGGAAUCGAGCAGAAUCCCAGUCUC